rnacentral:rRNA from 1 species
AUUGAACGCUGGCGGCAUGCCUCACACAUGCAAGUCGAACGGCAGCACGGACUUCGGUCUGGUGGCGAGUGGCGAACGGGUGAGUAAUAUAUCGGAACAUACCUUGUAGUGGGGGAUAACUAUCCGAAAGGAUAGCUAAUACCGCAUACGAUCUAAGGAUGAAAGCGGGGGAUCUUCGGACCUCGUGCUAUAAGAGUGGCCGAUAUCUGAUUAGCUAGUUGGUGAGGUAAAGGCUCACCAAGGCGACGAUCAGUAGCUGGUCUGAGAGGACGACCAGCCACACUGGAACUGAGACACGGUCCAGACUCCUACGGGAGGCAGCAGUGGGGAAUUUUGGACAAUGGGGGAAACCCUGAUCCAGCAAUGCCGCGUGAGUGAAGAAGGCCUUCGGGUUGUAAAGCUCUUUUGUCAGGGAAGAAACGGUUGUGGCUAAUAUCCAUGGCUAAUGACGGUACCUGAGGAAUAAGCACCGGCUAACUACGUGCCAGCAGCCGCGGUAA